rnacentral:lncRNA from 1 species
ACCUGCGUGGGGUCUGCGGGUGGAAAGGUCCGGCCCCGGGUGCGGGGAGGACAGGUUUUCGGGGCCGCCCAGGGGAUGCCUGUGACCCCCCGCCCCGACUUUGGUCGGACUUCCUUUCAAAUUCCAGCUGCUCCCGCUUAGCGCGAACUAGCAAUAAGUAACAAUAACCAGCUAGUGUUUAUUAUUGAUCGCUUCCUGUGCGCGGCCCUGGACGGUUCAGAGCGCUUUGUACGUAUGAAGUCACUGAAAGCCUUCCCAACAAUCCCAUUUUACCGCUGAGAACACUGAGGCACAGAGACGCAAGCGAUGUGCCUGAGGACGCACAGCUGGAAUACGACAGAGCCGGGAUUGCAGCUCAGGCUUAAUUAAAUUACUUCAAAGUGAAAAGUCUUACAAAGAAAAAAAAGAAGCUGAAAUGCUAAUAUGAGUGACAGAGAAAGCUCCAGUUCCCAGAGCUGCCCCAAAUCCAGAGAUUUCUAGCCCCUGGGUGGGUCCAUCUGUGUUUAUUAAAAAGCAAGAAGCCUGAGCAGAACAUGCUCCUAGUUUUACUUGCAAGUUGCUCCAAAUCUUGUGGAAAAAGACAAUAGCCCAAAUUUCUCAAUUAUGAGCCCUGGUAAUCAUGCAUCUCAGAUGCUCCAGACCCAGUCGAGCCUCUAGCUGACUACAGCUCUGGUGACCCCUUUACUACAACUUCGGGAGGGAUCCUGUGCCAGUCCACCCAGAUGAGCCACUGCCAAAUUCCUGAUCCAUGGUGAUGUAAUAAGUUUUGAGUUGCUAAGCUUUGGAGUAAUUUGUUACUCAGUAAUGGAUAAAUAAUAUAUUUGGUAACUAUUAACUCUGCGUGAAAGGUGUAUAUAUGUGUAUGAAUACAACUUUGAAGUGACUCAGUUACUUAAAAAUUAGCAGCCACUGGUUUCUUUUGUUUCUGGGUGCAUUUUGACAAUGUGUAUCAAUACCCCUAAAAUGGUUUAUAGCCACUGACCAAGAAUCCAACAUUUUGGAAUAUCUUCUAAGGACAUGAAAACCUCCCAUGGGAAUGCAAUCCACAAGCAGGGAGUUUUGUUGGGUUGGCUUAUCGCCGUAUCCCCAACAGCUAGGACAGUACAUAGUACCUAGUAGGAGCUCAAAAUGUAUUUUUGAAUGAAUGAAUGAAAUAAUUGGUCAAGUGUGUGAAGAUAUAAAGAUUAGAAUAUUUAUCACAGUGUCGUUUAUGAUAAUAAAAAAUAUUGAGAACCACUUAAAUGUUAGGACAUGUAUACCAACAGUAAAUGAUGAGUUAGGAUGAACUAUAAUACAUCUAUACAAAAUGGAAUAUUAUGUAGCUGUUAAGAACAAUUAUAUAGAAAGACCUCUAUUUUGUAGUGGAAUCUUUCUUAGUCGAUGCCCACUGAAUGACCUACGAGAUUAACCAACAUUUUUCUUCCUCUUCAAAAUUCUAAUUAAUUCCCAUGACAUGCUGAGUACGUUCUCUUCCUCAAAUUCCUAUAUUCUCAUAUUUCCAUGCAAUUUUGUUCCCACUGUGACUUACCACGAGUCAACUUGUUCCCCCAACUUUUGGUGUCUGCUCUAUUAUUUUGUGGUUAAACAAAUCCCACCUAAACUGAUAAAACACAAGUGCAAAUAAUAGAGAUGGUUCUAAUAGACACAAAAUAGAAUGUUUAAGAAAGAUAAUAAAAAUGGUUUUUAAAAAAUGGCUCUCAAGCUACUCGUGGGCAAGGUAACUAGAGAAGACUAGAAAAUUUUGCAAAAAAAUCUAGGACUUUGCAGUUGGGUUGCUCUGACUACUUUGCUUUUCUUCAAAUAAACUCAAAUUGGAAAUUUUUUUCUUUUUUUCUUUUUUUUUCAAAUUGGAAAUUUUAAGUCAAGUAUAUGGGUGUAGUUUAUGCAAGAAACACCACACUUAGAAGUCAUCUUUUCUGAAUGGUUGUGCAUUUAUAAGCUUUAAGUUACAAUAAAAUGUUUAAAGUAUGCGCA